rnacentral:rRNA from 1 species
GACGAACGCUGGCGGCGUGCUUAACACAUGCAAGUCGAACGGAAAGGCCCUGCUUUUGUGGGGUGCUCGAGUGGCGAACGGGUGAGUAACACGUGAGUAACCUGCCCUUGACUCUGGGAUAACUUCAGGAAACUGGGGCUAAUACCGGAUAGGAGCUCCUGCUGCAUGGUGGGGGUUGGAAAGUUUCGGCGGUUGGGGAUGGACUCGCGGCUUAUCAGCUUGUUGGUGGGGUAGUGGCUUACCAAGGCCUUGACGGGUAGCCGGCCUGAGAGGGUGACCGGCCACAUUGGGACUGAGAUACGGCCCAGACUCCUACGGGAGGCAGCAGUGGGGAAUAUUGCACAAUGGGCGGAAGCCUGAUGCAGCAACGCCGCGUGCGGGAUGACGGCCUUCGGGUUGUAAACCGCUUUCGCCUGUGACGAAGCGUGAGUGACGGUAAUGGGUAAAGAAGCACCGGCUAACUACGUG